GAUGAACGCUAGCGGCAGGCCUAAUACAUGCAAGUCGAGCGGCAAGUCGAGGAGUAAUCUAAGACCUAGAGCGGCGCACGGGUGCGUAACGCGUAUGCAACCUACCUUACACUGGGGGUAUAGCCCGGAGAAAUUCGGACUAAUCCCCCAUGGUACUUUUGAAUGGCAUCAUUUGGAAGUUAAAGUAUUACGGUGUAAGAUGGGCAUGCGUCCUAUUAGCUAGAUGGUAAGGUAACGGCUUACCAUGGCUACGAUAGGUAGGGGGCCUGAGAGGGUGGUCCCCCACACUGGAACUGAGACACGGUCCAGACUCCUACGGGAGGCAGCAGUGGGGAAUUUUGGACAAUGGGCGAAAGCCUGAUCCAGCCAUUCCGCGUGCAGGAUGAAGGCCCUCGGGUUGUAAACUGCUUUUGUACAGAACGAAAAGGUCUCUAUUAAUACUAGGGGCUCAUGACGGUACUGUAAGAAUAAGCACCGGCUAACUACGUG
rnacentral:rRNA from 1 species